CAGCAGAGUUGGGGACAGAUAUGCAGGGACAGACUGGCAGAGACAGGGAGUCUCAGUUGAUAUCAGAUUUUCGCCCCUGACGGGCCGCCUCCCAGACGUCCUACUGGUUUCACUCUCGAGCGGGUGGUCUUUGCCUGUGGAUCUUCUCUUGACCAGACUAUGGAAGGCCGCGGUAUGAGCCUCUUUCCUGGUGAGGGGGCCUCCCUGUCUUCCUACCCGAGUUAGCAAUGGAGCCCUGGGCUUCACUUUAUCAACCCGGGUCACCCCUCUUGGUACAUCUCUGCUUUCCACAGAGAUGGCUUCCGUCUGCUCUCCAGAGGGUGGUGAGGUCUGCCCAACGCAUCACCGGGGCCAAACUACCCGCCCUCCAGGACACCUACAGCACCCGAUGUCACAG